rnacentral:tRNA from 1 species
GCUGAAGUGGCGGAAUUGGUAGACGCGCUAGGUUCAGGACCUAGUCCGCCGAUUGGUGGGUAGGGGUUCAAGUCCCCUCUUCAGCACCA